UGGCCAGGAGCGGCGGCGGCAGCAACAGGAGGCGAUCUCGCGAGAGGCGAGGCCAAAACCCUGCCUCGCUAGCGCAGGGAGAAGUCGCACCAGUCGGAGCGCAGAGGGACACGCAGACAUUUCAGCAGAGGCCUCAAAGGCAGAACAAAAUAGUGCAAGGAGCCGCACAUCCGCACAGUGCUGAGACCCUGCCCAGGACAAGCUUGGCCGCAGUAUUCCCUUUGGCACCCCCACCCACCUGGAACAAAGCCUGAUGUAAAGUCUGGGUGCGACUCAGACCGGCCUGGGAAAGAAUUUAUUUAAUAAAUGGUGGAAAGUGGCUUC
rnacentral:lncRNA from 1 species